CUCACUAUUGUGGCAUUGAUGGGCUAAGUGAAGGCAAGAAAAUAGU
rnacentral:rRNA from 1 species